rnacentral:rRNA from 1 species
AAAAGAAACCCAACAGGGAUUGCCCCAGUAACGGCGAGUGAAGCGGCAAGAGCUCAAAUUUGAAAUCUGGCCUCCCCCGGGGCCCGAGUUGUAAUUUGCAGAGGAUGCUUCGGGUGCGGCCACCGUAUAAGUUCCUUGGAACAGGACGUCAGAGAGGGUGAGAAUCCCGUCUUGGGCGGGCGGUCCGCGCCCGUGUGAAGCUCCUUCGACGAGUCGAGUUGUUUGGGAAUGCAGCUCUAAGCGGGUGGUAAAUUUCAUCUAAAGCUAAAUAUUGGCCGGAGACCGAUAGCGCACAAGUAGAGUGAUCGAAGGGUUAAAAGCACCUUGAAAAGGGAGUUAAACAGCACGUGAAAUUGUUGAAAGGGAAGCGCUUGCGGCCAGACUCGGGGGCGGGGUUCAGCGGGUGCUCGUCGCCCGUGUAUUCCUCGUCUCCCGGGCCAGCAUCAGUUUCGACGGCCGGUCAAAGGCCCCCGGAAUGUGUCGUCUCUCGGGACGUCUUAUAGCCGGGGGUGCAAUGCGGCCCGUCGGGACUGAGGAACGCGCUCCGGCUCGGAUGCUGGCGUAAUGGCCGUAAGCGGCCCGUCUUGAAACACGGACCAAGGAGUCUAACAUCCACGCGAGUGUUCGGGUGUCAAACCCGUGCGCGCAGUGAAAGCGAACGGAGGUGGGAGCCUUAGGGCGCACCAUCGACCGAUCCUGAAGUCUUCGGAUGGAUUUGAGUAGGAGCGUGGCCGUUGGGACCCGAAAGAUGGUGAACUAUGCCUGAAUAGGGUGAAGCCAGAGGAAACUCUGGUGGAGGCUCGCAGCGGUUCUGACGUGCAAAUCGAUCGUCAAAUUUGGCAUAGGGCGAAAGACUAAUCGAACCAUCUAGUAGCUGGCUCUGCGAG